rnacentral:sRNA from 1 species
AUCAGCGACCCUGUGGAGGGGUGGCAGAGUGGUCGAAUGCGCCGGUCUCGAAAACCGGUAUGGGUGCAAGCUCAUCGUGGGUUCGAAUCCCACCCCCUCCGCCACUACUUCCAAAGAAUAGAUUCUCUGACGCAUAGAGCCUUGGGCGAAA